rnacentral:rRNA from 1 species
UACGUAGGGUGCGAGCGUUGUCCGGAAUUAUUGGGCGUAAAGCGCGUGUAGGCGGCUUUGCAAGUCGGGUGUGAAAGCCCUCAGCUCAACUGAGGAAGUGCGCCCGAAACUGCAGAGCUUGAGUGCCGGAGAGGGUGGCGGAAUUCCCCAAGUAGAGGUGAAAUUCGUAGAUAUGGGGAGGAACACCGGUGGCGAAAGGCGGCCACCUGGACGGCAACUGACGCUGAGACGCGAAAGCGUGGGGAGGCAAA